AUUGAACGCUGGCGGCAGGCCUAACACAUGCAAGUCGAGCGAGCGGCGGACGGGUGAGUAAUGUAUGGGGCCUGCCCGAUAGAGGGGGAUAACUACUGGAAACGGUAGCUAAUACCGCAUACUAUCGGAUAACCCAUAUGGGAUUAGCUAGUAGGUGAGGGAAUGGCUCACCUAGGCGACGAGCCCUAGCUGUUCGGAGAGGAUGAUCAGCCACACGGGGACUGAGACACGGCCCAGAAUCCAACGGAGGCAUCAGUGGGGAAUAUUGCACAAUGGGCGCAAGCCUGAUGCAGCCAUGCCGGGUGUAUAAAGAAGGCCCUAGGGUUGUAAAGUACUUUCAGUGGGGAGGCGUUACCGACAGAAGAAGCACCGGCUAACUCCGUGCCAGGAGCAGCGGUAAUAC
rnacentral:rRNA from 1 species